AGAGUUUGAUCCUGGCUCAGGACGAACGCUGGCGGCGUGCGUAAUACAUGCAAGUCGAGCGGACCUUCGGGUCAGCGGCGGACGGGUGAGGAACACNUGAGUCAUCUGUCGGUGGGUGGGGGAUAUCGGGCCGAAAGGCGCGGCAAUCCCGCAUACGUUCCUUCGGGAAGAAAGCUGGGCAACCGGCGCCCGCCGGGGAGCUCGCGGCCCAUUAGCUAGUUGGCAGGGUAACAGCCUCCCAAGGCGACGAUGGGUAGCCGGCCUGAGAGGGUGAACRCCACACUGGACUGAGACACGCC
rnacentral:rRNA from 1 species